AUUUAGCCCAGAUAGCAGUGGAAAGCUUGGUGAAGGAAAAUUAUAAUUUUUCUUGAGGUAAAAUUGCGACCAAAGGAAGCGCAUUUUAGCUCUUAGAAAAAUAUAAUUUUACAAGCCAACUUGCAACGUAUAGCUGGAUUAGCU
rnacentral:sRNA from 1 species